rnacentral:rRNA from 1 species
GACGAACGCUGGCGGCGUGCUUAACACAUGCAAGUCGAACGGAAAGGCCCUGCUUUUGUGGGGUGCUCGAGUGGCGAACGGGUGAGUAACACGUGAGUAACCUGCCCUUGACUUUGGGAUAACUUCAGGAAACUGGGGCUAAUACCGGAUAGGAGCUCCUGCUGCAUGGUGGGGGUUGGAAAGUUUCGGCGGUUGGGGAUGGACUCGCGGCUUAUCAGCUUGUUGGUGGGGUAGUGGCUUACCAAGGCUUUGACGGAUAGCCGGCCUGAGAGGGUGACCGGCCACAUUGGGACUGAGAUACGGCCCAGACUCCUACGGGAGGCAGCAGUGGGGAAUAUUGCACAGUGGGCGGAAGCCUGAUGCAGCAACGCCGCGUGCGGGAUGACGGCCUGCGGGUUGUGAACCGCUUUCGCCUGUGACGAAGCGUGAGUGACGGUAAUGGGUAAAGAAGCACCGGCUAACUACGUG